AUACGGAGGAUCCGAGCGUUAUCCGGAUUUAUUGGGUUUAAAGGGUGCGCAGGCGGGAGAUUAAGUCGGCGGUGAAAUUUUUCAGCUCAACCGUAAAAGUGCCUUCGAAACUGGUUUCCUUGAGUGUAGAUGGAGUAGGGGGAAAUUUUGGGGGUGCGGUGGAAUGCAUAGAUAUCACGAGGAACUCCGAUUGCGCAGGCAGCUUACUAAACUACUACUGACGCUCAGGCACGAAGGCGUGGGGAUCAAACGGGAUUAGAUACCCUGGUAGUCCACGCAGUAAACGAUGAUUACUAGCUGUUUGCGAUACAAUGUAAGCGGCUGAGCGAAAGCGUUAAGUAAUCCACCUGGGGAGUACGUUCGCAAGAAUGAAACUCAAAUGAAUUGACGGGG
rnacentral:rRNA from 1 species